rnacentral:tRNA from 1 species
CUUUAGCUCAAUUGGAUAGAGCAUCUGACUACGGAUCAGAAGGUUGCAGGUUCGACUCCUGCAAGG